rnacentral:tRNA from 1 species
AGAUAAUGAUCUUGAAAAAGUUUAUAUUUUGAAAAUAUAAAAUAGAAAUUUAAAUUUUCUAUUAUCUU